rnacentral:tRNA from 1 species
UAUUUAUGUAGUUUAAAUAAAACAUUACAUUUUCAUUGUAAAAAUAAAAUUUCAUUUUUCAUAAAUAUU